rnacentral:rRNA from 1 species
UACGUAGGGACCAAGCGUUGUUCGGAUUUACUGGGCGUAAAGCGUGCGCAGGCGGUUUUGUAAGCCAGAUGUGAAAUCCCCGGGCUUAACCUGGGAAUGGCAUUUGGGACUGCAAGGCUGGAGUGUGGCAGAGGAGACUGGAAUUCCUGGUGUAGCAGUGAAAUGCGUAGAUAUCAGGAGGAAUACCGAUGGCGAAGGCAGGUCUCUGGGCUGACACUGACGCUCAUGCACGAAAGCGUGGGGAGCAAACAGG